UUGGCUGAAAAAAACACCAUACUUACCAGAACCAAAGACAUGAAUAUGCAUUUAUCCUUAUAAAUGCGUAUUUAAGUCUAUAAUCAGAACUCUGAAGAAGUGGGAGGAACCAAAGAUCAACAAGCUGAAGGUGGUGAAUUUCCUCCAGGACAGCAGAGGGCGCCAAAAGGCGCCACGGCACCACUUCCGGGGUGAAAACAAAUCCCCUUCCGGUGGGUAAAAAACAAACCGGACCGCGGUGACUCCAGCAGAACUUCAGUGGCUAACCGUGGCUGCUGAAUGAACAGGCGGUCCAGUUCGGCUCGGUUCGGUCGGUCAGUAUGGUGAAGUGUGUGGUCUCCGGCUGUCCGAACCGGGUGGACGGGUCCAACCAUGGAGUGUUCAACAGAACCCAAAAACGGUUCUUCAAGUUCCCGCGAGAUCCAGCGAGGGUCAAGGUGUGGCUGGCGGCGCUGCGGCAGGCGGACCAGCAGAACCAGAACCUGAUCUGUGAGGACCACUUCCUGCCGGAGGAUGUCGUGUCGGGUGACGUCAGCGCCGACGCCAUUCCCAUCAUGCCUCCCUGCCUGGACGGGCCGCUGGACCCGUUGGACCGGUGGGGAGCUGGGUCGGAGGACGACGAGGACCAGUGGGUUGGAACCGCCGGGCCCAGUGAGGAAGAGGAGGAUGAAGGCUGCUUUACCUUUAACACCAAGAUGGCUGCUCCAGAACUUCCUGCUCUGGACCCAACAGAACAGAAUCCGGCUCUCAAAGCGGUGCCAGAAGGUCCGACUCUCAGCCAGCAGCAGCAGAACGGGCCAAUUCGGACCCAGACCCGGGAAGACGUGUCUCUGCUGGUUCUGACCCGGCGGUUCCUGGACCUGUUCCUGACGGCACCGGACGGCUGCCUGGACCUGCGCAGCGCCAUCGCCAGCCUGAGGACGCGCCGCCGCCGCGUCUAUGACAUCACCAACGUGCUGCAGGGCGUCCGGCUUGUCCAGAAGGAGUCCGUCAACCGGAUCCGCUGGAUAGGAAGCAGCCCCGCCUCCAGUUACCUGGGUCAGAACCGGGCCCGGUCCAACAUGGCCGACCUGAAGCUGGUGGAGGAAACUCUGGACUCUCUGAUCCGGACCAGCGCCGAGCAGCUCUUCCACCUGACCGACGACCCGCACAACUCCAGAUAUCCUUCAGUCCGGUCCGGUCCGGUUCAUAGUUUCAGCUCCACCUGGACGAUACCUGUGGGGGGGCAGACUGAUGGUUUGAACAGGUUCUGGUCGGUUCUGAUGGGUUCUGCUCAGGGGUCGGUCCUGCUCACCAGUAUUGGAACCAAUGAAGUUUAAGUUUAAUAUUUACUGAAGGAAAUUCAUUUACUGCUGAAGCAAAACAGCAAAUGAUAAAAACAUCCAGAGGAAAACAAAGCUAAUCGCUAUGGAAACCCAAUCGGCUCACCUGCUGCUCAUCACAAGUAAGGAUCACUUGUGAUGAACUGGGUCUGGACCGAAGCUCAGGCUUCUGGACCGGACCUCAGGUUUCUGGACCGACGCUCAGGCUUCUGUACCGGACCUCAGGUUUCUGGACCGGAGCUCAGGCUUCUGGACCGGAGCUCAGGCUUCUGGACCGGAGUUCAGGCUUCUGGACCGGAGUUCAGGCUUCUGGACCAGACCACAGGCUUCUGGACCGGACCACAGGUUUCUGGACCGGAGUUCAGGCUUCUGGACCGGACCACAGGCUUCUGGACCGGACCACAGGCUUCUGGACCGGAGCUCAGGCUUCUGGACCGGAGUUCAGGUUUCUGGACCGGAGUUCAGGUUUCUGGACCGGAGUUCAGGUUUCUGGACCGGAGUUCAGGCUUCUGGACCGGACCACAGGCUUCUGGACCGGAGCUCAGGCUUCUGGACCGGAGUUCAGGCUUCUGGACCGGACCACAGGCUUCUGGACCGGACCACAGGCUUCUGGACCGGACCACAGGCUUCUGGACCGGAACUCAGGCUUCUGGACCGGAGUUCAGGCUUCUGGACCGGAGUUCAGGCUUCUGGACCAGACCACAGGCUUCUGGACCGGACCACAGGUUUCUGGACCGGAGUUCAGGCUUCUGGACCGGACCACAGGCUUCUGGACCGGACCACAGGCUUCUGGACCGGAGCUCAGGCUUCUGGACCGGAGUUCAGGUUUCUGGACCGGACCACAGGUUUCUGGACCGGACCACAGGCUUCUGGACCGGACCACAGGCUUCUGGACCGGAGCUCAGGCUUCUGGACCGGAGCUCAGGCUUCUGGACCGGAGCUCAGGUUUCUGGACCGGAGUUCAGGUUUCUGGACCGGACCACAGGCUUCUGGACCGGAGCUCAGGCUGGUUCCUGUUUUGUCCUUAAAUUAAAAUGUUUUUGUUGAAAUAAUUUGCUCUUUGUUACUUUGGACCUCAAACUUUCCAUCUUCACUCUGAAAUGCACAACAUGAAGGGCACCAGUAAUGGUGAGCAGGAUCCUCGGAUCAGAACCGGACCAGAACCCUGCUGGAAGGAAGGAGGUAUCAGGAUCGGUUCUGGACUCUCCACCGCAGGGGUCACCAACCCGGUAGCUGAGACGACCUUGUCAGUCGAGCAAGUUCUAAAAAUAGCCAUUGUCAUUAGGCAGCACUGCCAGAAUAAAUAUUCAAUUAAAUGUUUUUAUCUGGAAAUAACAUUUGUUUAUUUUUAGAUUUUUUUAAAGUGAAUUAUAAAAACGUUUAAAAUUU